CCUACGGGAGGCAGCAGUGGGGAAUCUUGCGCAAUGGGCGAAAGCCUGACGCAGCCAUGCCGCGUGAAUGAUGAAGGUCUUAGGAUUGUAAAAUUCUUUCACCGGGGACGAUAAUGACGGUACCCGGAGAAGAAGCCCCGGCUAACUUCGUGCCAGCAGCCGCGGUAAUACGAAGGGGGGCUAGCGUUGCUCGGAAUUACUGGGCGUAAAGGGAGCGUAGGCGGAUAGUUUAGUCAGAGGUGAAAGCCCAGGGCUCAACCUUGGAAUUGCCUUUGAUACUGGCUAUCUUGAGUAUGGGAGAGGUUAGCGGAACUCCGAGUGUAGAGGUGAAAUUCGUAGAUAUUCGGAAGAACACCAGUGGCGAAGGCGGCUAACUGGCCCAUUACUGACGCUGAGGCUCGAAAGCGUGGGGAGCAAACAGGAUUAGAUACCCUGGUAGUCCACGCCGUAAACGAUGAGUGCUAGUUGUCGGUCGAUGCAUGCAUGUCGGUGACGCGAGCGUAACGACAUAAGACACUCCGCCGUCGGGAGGUACGGUCGCGAGAAGUUAAACGUUAAACGGUAAAGUUAGUUACGGCGUGAGACGUGCCGACGGACGACGACGAGGGAGGAGG
rnacentral:rRNA from 1 species